rnacentral:rRNA from 1 species
CGUGCUUAACACAUGCAAGUCGAGCGGUAAGGCCCUUCGGGGUACACGAGCGGCGAACGGGUGAGUAACACGUGAGCAAUCUGCCCUUCUCUUUGGAAUAACCAUUGGAAACGAUGGCUAAUGCCGAAUAUGACCUCCUUUCGCAUGUUUGGAGGUGGAAAGCUCCGGCGGAGAAGGAUGAGCUCGCGGCCUAUCAGCUUGUUGGUGAGGUAAUGGCUCACCAAGGCAUUGACGGGUAGCCGGCCUGAGAGGGUGACCGGCCACACUGGGACUGAGACACGGCCCAGACUCCUACGGGAGGCAGCAGUGGGGAAUAUUGGACAAUGGGCGAAAGCCUGAUCCAGCAACGCCGCGUGAGGGAUGACGGCCUUCGGGUUGUAAACCUCUUUCAGCAGGGACGAAGCGAGAGUGACGGUACCUGCAGAAGAAGGACCGGCCAACUACGUGCCAGCAGCCGCGGUAAUACGUAGGGUCCGAGCGUUGUCCGGAAUUAUUGGGCGUAAAGGGCUCGUAGGCGGUUUGUCGCGUCGGGAGUGAAAACUCAGGGCUCAACCCUGAGCGUGCUUCCGAUACGGGCAGACUAGAGGUAUGCAGGGGAGAACGGAAUUCCUGGUGUAGCGGUGGAAUGCGCAGAUAUCAGGAGGAACACCGGUGGCGAAGGCGGUUCUCUGGGCAUUACCUGACGCUGAGGAGCGAAAGCAUGGGGAGCGAACAGGAUUAGAUACCCUGGUAGUCCAUGCCGUAAACGUUGGGCGCUAGGUGUG